rnacentral:rRNA from 1 species
GAUGAACGCUGGCGGCGUGCCUAAUACAUGCAAGUCGAGCGAACAGACGAGGAGCUUGCUCCUCUGACGUUAGCGGCGGACGGGUGAGUAACACGUGGAUAACCUACCUAUAAGACUGGGAUAACUUCGGGAAACCGGAGCUAAUACCGGAUAAUAUAUUGAACCGCAUGGUUCAAUAGUGAAAGACGGUUUUGCUGUCACUUAUAGAUGGAUCCGCGCCGCAUUAGCUAGUUGGUAAGGUAACGGCUUACCAAGGCGACGAUGCGUAGCCGACCUGAGAGGGUGAUCGGCCACACUGGAACUGAGACACGGUCCAGACUCCUACGGGAGGCAGCAGUAGGGAAUCUUCCGCAAUGGGCGAAAGCCUGACGGAGCGACGCCGCGUGAGUGAUGAAGGUCUUCGGAUCGUAAAACUCUGUUAUUAGGGAAGAACGAAUGUGUAAGUAACUAUGCACGUAUUGACGGUACCUAAUCAGAAAGCCACGGCUAACUACGUG